UACAGAGGGGGCAAGCGUUGUUCGGAAUUACUGGGCGUAAAGGGCGCGUAGGCGGCCUCUGCAAGUCGACUGUGAAAUCUCCGGGCUUAACCCGGAAAGGUCAGCCGAUACUGCAGGGCUAGAGUGCAGAAGGGGCAACUGGAAUUCUCGGUGUAGCGGUGAAAUGCGUAGAUAUCUGGAGGAACACCGGUGGCGAAGGCGGCAUCCUGGACCGGCAUUGACGCUGAGGAGCGAAAGCCAGGGGAGCAACGGG
rnacentral:rRNA from 1 species